rnacentral:lncRNA from 1 species
GCCAUCAUUAAUAGGACUAGUUACAAUGCAAACAGACGAUUCAAAAACAACUUUGUAUCCUUUAUCACAAAAUUGACUAAUGCUUAGUAAAUUAUGCUUUAAACCAUCUACUAACAAAAUAUUUUCAAUGUAUUUGGAGGGAGUGAUACCAAUGUUACCUAUACCGAUGAUCUUUUCUUUGCCAUUAUCUCCAAAGGUGACC